rnacentral:rRNA from 1 species
AUGGCUGCAUGAGGACCAAUCUGUCUCCUUUGACCAAUCAAUGAACCUGAUUUCUCAGUACAAAAGCUGAGAUAAGACCAUAAGACAAGAAGACCCUGUGGAGCUUAAAAUACCAAUACUAACCCCCCUCAACCCACAAGGCUCACACCACCAAAAUAGUAUACAUUUUUAGUUGGGGCGACUACGGAACCAAACAAAACUUCCACGACACAAGACCACCCAUCCCCCCCCCCAGGUCAACAAACCUAUCCCCCAUUUGACCCAGUUAUACUGACCAACGAACCAAGUUACCCCAGGGAUAACAGCGCCAUCCUCUUCAAGAGCCCCUAUCGCCAAGAGGGUUUACGACCUCGAUGUUGGAUCAGGACCCCCAGGUGGUGCAACCGCUACCAACGGUU